AUUGAACGCUGGCGGCAGGCCUAACACAUGCAAGUCGAGCGAGCGGCGGACGGGUGAGUAAUGUAUGGGGACUGCCCGAUAGAGGGGGAUAACUACUGGAAACGGUAGCUAAUACCGCAUACUAUCGGAUAACCCAUAUGGGAUUAGCUAGUGGGUGAGGUAAUGGCUCACCUAGGCGACGAUCUCUAGCUGGUCUGAGAGGAUAAUCAGCCACACUGGGACUGAGACACGGCCCAGCCUCCGAGGGAGGCAGCAGGGGGGAAUAUUGCACAAUGGGCGCAAGCCGGAGGCAGCCACGCCGGGUGUAUGAAGAAGGCGUUAGGGUUGUAAAGUACUUUCAGCGGGGAGGCGUUACCAAAAGAAGAAGCCCCGGCUAACUCCGGGCCAGCCGCCGCGGUAAUAC
rnacentral:rRNA from 1 species